rnacentral:rRNA from 1 species
UACGUAGGGGGCAAGCGUUGUCCGGAUUUACUGGGCGUAAAGAGCGUGUAGGCGGCCACGCAGGUCCGUUGUGAAAACUGGAGGCUCAACUUCCAGCCGUCGACGGAAACCGUGUGGCUAGAGUCCGGAAGAGGAGAGUGGAAUUCCUGGUGUAGCGGUGAAAUGCGCAGAUAUCAGGAAGAACACCAAUGGCGAAGGCAGCUCUCUGGGACGGUACUGACGCUGAGACGCGAAAGCGUGGGGAGCAAACAGG